AGGUGCUUCACAUGUAUUUACUGUACUAACAACACUUUGAAAAGAAGCCUAUGGUUUUUAUACGAUUCAUCGGCAAAACUUUAUAGAGGCCUUGUUCGACUUUUCCAGACAAUACAGUACAUACAGGGCGUGAGUCUAGCGCUCCCGUAAUCAGAGCCCCAAAGCUUUUUAACCAUUUGGCGGAACAUUUGAUAAAAUAGCUCCAACUCAGAUCGAAAUAAAAAACAGUUCCACAUUCUCAUGGCUUCUUUAAUGCUUCCAGCACCUCCACAAGUUACUAACGUUCUUUGCCUCUUAGGGGAAGGAAGUGCAAACAUGGCAAUUAUGAAUUGUAACCCCCCCCCCGAAAAAGGAUGUAAAUCCAUCUAGUGCUGUACAGUGUAAGUGAUAACUGCAUGCAUUUCGCAUGGGUAAGGAAAAGCAUGCACAGGUCCAGCCAUCACACUAAGAAGAAUGGAAAUUUACUAAAAAGACCACAGCGCCAUUACCACGGCGCUCAUACAUUAUGUAUAGCUGUGGUUAUCUCGGGUUUGUCACACCAAGAAAAAACAAGGCACAGCACUAGUGUACCGAUCUGCCACCCCCGGCUCUGAUCUACGAAUUUAGGAAAGAGGUAUAAAAAUCCAGUUGGAACUACCUUUUAAAUUCCCUAUUUAAGAUACAUAGAAAACUAAGAUAGAAACUUAGCCCGCUAUACAUACACAACAAAUAUUUGUGGAUCAAAAUGAACAUUUUGCAUUUCCUUCUGUAAUGUGUCGACUAAGGAAUUUGAGAACAUUAAGAGUGUCUGAAAAUCCCCCACAAAAAAGCCCAGGUCAUUAUAAAGACGAUAUCUAGCAACCAUAAGCCUUUGAAAUGACCUUUGGCUUGUAAAGCAAUAACUCACCACUUAAUGAACAACCAACGGAAGCGCCUCCAAUAGUUCACAACAUAACAGAGCUUGCAACUUUCCACCAAAUCUUCUCUGUCCCUGUCCAAACCCAGUCUGAUGCAGCAUUCCCCCUCCAAUUCACCUUAAUUUAUGCUGGCAAACUGGAGUUUGGGAAGUGGAGCUUCAUGAUUACACACGAUGUUCUACCAGGUUCCUGGUCCAAGGCCUGUCCCGGUAACGUCUUAUAUAAUAUAUUCCCGUGGGCGUACGUCAACUUUAAGUGCUUUAUUUUUUUUUUAUAACGGAGUUCAUUAGAAAUAGAAUAGUACGUUACAGUGUGUAAGAAGAAAGCAUAAAUUCGGUACCCCUUAGCUCUUGACCGGAGAGAUCAUAAUAUUGUUAUCAAGUCAUUGUUAUCCGCUGUUGAUUAAUAUGGAGGAAAUAUUUAGGUAAACUCGGAUUUUCCAGAUUGGAAGACUAAAGAAGCCUUAGAAAAAUCGCCUUACUUUUCUGUUUGUGCACUGAGUCUGAUCUCUCUCUCUCUCUCUCUCUCUCUCUCUCUCUCUCUCUCUCUCUGUAUGUGUAUAUACAUAUAUACACAGAGAGAUAGAAAAAGCACUAUAUGUAUAUAUGAAUACCUGUACAUGUACACACAGAGUUAGAACACUCUUUCUAUAUGUAAUGAGUACAUACAAAUGUCCUGAACAGCUCAAAGUCUGUAAAAAUGUAUUUUAGUUCUUUUGUUUGAUUUUCUAAGGUGUCUGUAGCUAUAAAUACACCACAUCUAAUCUAGGAUCUACUAAGAUUUCAUUACCAUCCAAAGCAUGGAGAUCUGACAGUAACGUAUUACCUUACAAUACUACCCUUAAGUGUAUUGUAACAUUUAUCUAAAUUACUUUGCUUUUCCUGACUUUGCAAACAAGUUAUAAAAAGAUUGCAGUCCAGUUACUGAAGCACGCGUUCAGGGUAAAUUAUUGUUUAGGAUUCCGGAUUUAUAAUCUUGUAUUUCUUGGAAAUGAUGUACUUGAAUCUUGCAUCACGUAAAAGUCAAUUGUUCUUUGCAUCAUUUUUGUCAGCCAUAUAUUUCACUAUCAGUGUACCUAUCUAUAGAUCUAUCUGUAUAUAUAUAUAUAUAUAUAUAUAUAUAUAUAUAUAGGAUAGGUUCACACAUUUUCUAAUAACGAAAAUCUCGUUUGCUCGUUACACAAAAGUGAAAGUGCAAAGUGUACCAUUAAUCAAGUAAAGAUCAAGAGGAGGGAUUGAGAAGAAAAAUCUCCCUUUUUAUGAUUAAUUUGUAAAUAUCUCUUAGCAAAAGUCACACGCCACCGGCGGGUUCAUUUAAAUUAUACGGCAUAAACAUAACAACA